GACGAACGCUGGCGGCGUGCUUAACACAUGCAAGUCGAACGGAAAGGCCCUGCUUUUGUGGGGUGCUCGAGUGGCGAACGGGUGAGUAACACGUGAGUAACCUGCCCUUGACUUUGUGAUAACAUCACGAAACUGGGGCUAAUACCGGAUAGGAGCUCCUGCUGCAUGGUGGGGGUUGGAAAGUUUCGGCGGUAGGGGCUGGACUAGCAGCUUAUCAGCUUGUUGGGCGAGUAGUUGCUUACAAAGGCUUUGACGGGUAGCCGGCCUGAGAGGGUGACCGGCGACAUUGGGACUGAGAUAGGGCCCAGACGCCAACGGGAGGCAGCGGUGGGGAAUCUUACGCAAUAGGCGGAAGCCAGAUACAAAAACGCUGCGUGCGGGAAGACGUCCUUCGAGGUAUAAACCGAUUUCGCCUGUGACGAGGCGGUAGUGACGGUAACGGGUAAGAAAGCACCGGCUAACUACGUG
rnacentral:rRNA from 1 species